rnacentral:rRNA from 1 species
UACAGAGGUCGCAAGCGUUGUCCGGAAUUAUUGGGCGUAAAGAGCUCGUAGGCGGUCUGUUACGUCUGCUGUGAAAACCCUGGGCUUAACCCUGGGCUUGCAGUGGAUACGGGCAGACUAGAGGCAGGUAGGGGAGAAUGGAAUUCCCGGUGUAGCGGUGAAAUGCGCAGAUAUCGGGAGGAACACCGGUGGCGAAGGCGGUUCUCUGGGCCUGACCUGACGCUGAGGAGCGAAAGCGUGGGGAGCGAACAGG